GGAGCUGUAGUGUAGAGGCCCAACACGCCUGCCUGUCACGCAGGAGAUCGCGGGUUCGAAUCCCGUCAGCUCCGCCA
rnacentral:tRNA from 3 species